rnacentral:rRNA from 1 species
UUCUAGCCGACGUUAGUGGUCCCCAACGCUCAGCGUAGGGCGUACCGCACGCGUCGUCUAUCCUAUCAGUUUGUCUGGUUUCGGCCGGGCUGACUGGUUCUUUUACUUUGAAAAAAUUAGAGUGUUUAAAGCAGGCUUGCGCAAUGAAUACAUUAGCAUGGAAUAAUAAUAUAGGACUUCGGUCUCUACUUUAUUGGUUCUGGAGUUGAAGUAAUGAUUGAUAGGGAUAGUUGGGGGUGCUAGUAUUGAGUGGCCAGAGGUGAAAUUCUUAGAUUCACUCAAGACUAACUUAUGCGAAAGCAUUCACCAAGGAUGUCUUCUUUAAUCAAGAACGAAAGUUGGGGGAUCGAAGACGAUC